rnacentral:rRNA from 1 species
CGAAAGCCUGAUCCGAGCAAUGCCGCGUGAGUGAAGAAGGCUUUCGGAUCGUAAAGACUCUUGUUGAUAGGAGAAGAACAGUUACGUUAGUAUACUGAUCAGUACCCCUGACGUGUAUCCUAUACCAGAGAAGCCCACGGCUAACUACGUGCCAGCAGCCGCGGUAAUACGUAGGGUGGCAAGCGUUGACCGGAUUUAUUGGGCGUAAAGCGAGCGUAGGCGGUUUGUUAAGUCUGAUGUGAAAGCCCCCGGCUCAACCGGGGAGGGUCAUUUGAAACUGGUAGACUUGAGUGUAGUAGAGGAGAGUGGAAUUCCAUGUGUAGCGGUGAAAUGCGUAGAUAUAUGGAGGAACACCAGUGGCGAAGGCGGCUCUCUGGUCCGUAACUGACGCUGAGGCUCGAAAGCGUGGGGAGCAAACAGGAUUAGAUACCCUGGUAGUCCACGCCGUAAACGAUGUGUGCUAAGUGUUGGAGGGUUUCCGCCCUUCAGUGUUGCAGCAAACGCAUUAAGCACUCCGCCUGGGGAGUACGACCGCAAGGUUGAAACUCAAAGGAAUUGACGGGGGCCCGCACAAGCGGUGGAGCAUGUGGUUUAAUUCGAAGCAACGCGAAGAACCUUACCAGGUCUUGACAUCCUUUGACCACUCUAGAGAUAGAGCUUUCCCUUCGGGGACAAAGUCACAGGUGGUGCAUGGUUGUCGUCAGCUCGUGUCGUGAGAUGUUGGGUUAAGUCCCGCAACGAGCGCAACCCUUAUUGUUAGUUGCCAUCAUUUAGUUGGGCACUCUAAGGAGACUGCCGGUGACAAACCGGAGGAAGGUGGGGAUGACGUCAAAUCAUCAUGCCCCUUAUGACCUGGGCUACACACGUGCUACAAUGGCAAGUACAACGAGUCGCUAGCCCGCGAGGUCAUGCAAAUCUCUUAAAGCUUCUCUCAGUUCGGAUUGCAGGUCUGCAACUCGCCUGCAUGAAGGCUCGGAAUCGCUAGUAUCGCGAUCAGCAACGCG